rnacentral:misc_RNA from 1 species
AGCAGCCGCGGUAAUUCCAGCUCCAAUAGCGUAUAUUAAAGUUGUUGCAGUUAAAAAGCUCGUAGUUGAAUUUCGUGGUUAGUAGGUUGGUCAUGCCUCUGGUAUGUACUGGUCUCACUGAUUCCUCCUUCCUGAUGAACCUUAAUGCCAUUUAUUUGGUGUUUUGGGGAAUUUGGACUGUUACUUUGAAAAAUUAGAGUGUUUAAAGCAAGCUAACGCUUGAAUACAUUAGCAUGGAAUAAUGAAAUAGGACGUUCGAUCCUAUUUUGUUGGUUUCUAGGAUUGACGUAAUGAUUAAUAGGGAUAGUUGGGGGCAUUAGUAUUCAAUUGUCAGAGGUGAAAUUCUUGGAUUUAUUGAAGACUAACUACUGCGAAAGCAUUUGCCAAGGAUGUUUUCAUUAAUCAAGAACGAAAGUUAGGGGAUCGAAGACGAUCAGAUACCGUCGUAGUCUUAACCAUAAACUAUGCCGACUAGGGAUCGGAUGAUGUUAAUUUUUAAUGACUCAUUCGGCGCCUUAAC